GGAGCAUUAACAGGAAGCUGCAUAUAGUUUGGUCCAAUACGGUGUCUCUGAGUAUCAGCAUACGCGAAUAUCCUUGUCUGGAGAAGCUUAUCCUCCGAAUAGUAAAGACCAGGGACAAUAUGGCCAGGGUUAAACGCGAGCUGCUCGUUCUCAGCAAAGAAGUUAUCGAUAUUCCUGUUAAGUACCAAUCGACCAACUGGCAUCAAUGGCAAGAUAUCCUCAGGCCAGGUCUUGGUUACAUCAAGAGGAUCAAAGUCGAAUUUGUCUACAUCCUCAGUGUCCAUAAUUUGGAUAAAGAGUUUCCACUCAGGAUAGUUUCCAGCCGCAAUUGAAUCGUAGAGAUCCUUGGUGGCGUGGCUAUGAUUUGUACCUCCGACCCUAAUAGCCUCUUCCUCCGACAUGCACUUUACACCACAAGUUGGCUUCCAGUGAAACUUGACAUAAUGUGCUUUCCCCGCCUUGUUGAUUAAUUGAUAGGCGUGAACACCAUAACCUUCCAUGUGUCUGUAAUCUGUCGGGAGACAAACAUCAUCGAAGAACCAGGCAAACGUAUGCAAACUCUCCGGAAGGAAAGAGAAGAAAUCAAGGAUCCUCCAGUAUUCCUGAAUGUGUGACUUUGGAUUUGGUUUCAGUGCACGGAUCGUGUCAGGGAACGAUUUUGCAUCACGAUUAAAGAAGACGGGGACGUUGUUUCCAACCAGAUCAAAGUUACCCUGAUCCAUAAAAACAAGAUAUAUACAUAAGUACAACAACAACAACAAGGUGGGGUCUGGGGAGGGUAGUGCGUACACAGAUCAUAUCCCUACUCCGGAGGAGUGGAAAGGCAAGAUACAUACACAAGUAAAUUAAGAAAAUACAAUUGAACAAAUACAUUCCUAGAAAGCAGUAAGUUCAUGUGAUGGGGCAAAUUACCUCUCUGGUGUAAAAUUUGACAGCAAAACCGCGAAUGUCCCUGAGGGACUCGGGGCUUCCACGCUCAUGGACGACAGUAGAGAAACGGACAAUAACAGGUGUUUGAACCCCAGGAGCUCGGAGAAAAUCAGCACAGGUAAGAUGAGAAAUAUCAUGAGUGACUUCAAAGAAACCUUUGGCACUGGCACCUCUAGCAUGAACAACACGCUCAGGUAUCCGCUCACGAUCAAAAGUCGCGAGCUUCUCAAUUAAGUGAUAAUCC
rnacentral:lncRNA from 1 species